UCGUGGCUUAGUGGAUAACGCACUGGUCUGUUAGACUGGAUUCCCGGGUUCGAGUCCCU
rnacentral:tRNA from 1 species